UGAUGUAUCAAACAGACAGACAAAGACGUGAUUGUGGAAACACCUGCAUCUACCUUGUUUGAAGGAGAACCAGUGACUCUGCGCUGUAGGCAUCGUACCCCGAGAGAGGGGCAGGAUGCCGUCUUCUACAGAGACGGAUCACCUAUUGAAGUGGACACAAACCAUCAGUCACCCAUGAGAUCAACAAACACAGUUCAAGUGACGUCAGAUCGGAGCUCUUACAUGUGUAAAUUUGAGGACGAAGAAUCUGAAGCAAUAACUCUGAAAAUGGAACCACAACCAAAGGCCCAACUGAGCCAAGACGAUCAUGUCGGGGGCAACGUGACCCUGACCUGCUCUGUGAAGACAUCAUCUUCAUCUGGUUGGAAAUACUUCUGGUACAGAGGCAAGAAAGCCUCUGAAGCCCUGACCACACAGGGUGUGGUCUUCCACUCAGAUGCAAAGAUCAGUGUCUCAGAAGGAGGACUCUACUGGUGCAGAGGAGGAACAGGAGACCCCGUUUACUACACAGAGUACAGCCAUUCAGCCGGUAAAGAAGAAAUCUGCUCUUUGUUUGAAUUAAAAUUAAAGGCUUAAGUAAACACUUGCAACAAAAGACACCUAAACAUGAACUUAAAAUA
rnacentral:lncRNA from 1 species